GGUUGCGAUCAUACCAGUACUAAUGCACCGGAUCCCCAUCAGAACUCCGCAGUUAAGCGUGCUUGGGAGAGAGUAAUACUAGGAUGGGUGACCCCCCUGGGAAGUCCUCGUGUUGCCACCCCUUUUUUUCGUUUUUUUGUUUAUUUUCUUUACUAGUUCGCUGUAUAUUUUGAUGUAGCAUGCGAGCGGACCCGAUUUUGUGAAAGAAGGCUUUGACGAAGGCGCAUGCGCCGCACGGCUGGCUCGAGGCGCGUGACGUAGGCCACACAUGAGGGCAUAGGUGCGAAUGGGAUCAAGGCGUGGAAAGGUAUAAAGGAAUAAGGAGAAGGUAUUCUUUCGGUUGCGAUCAUACCGACACUAAUGCACCGGAUCCUAUCAGAACUUCGCAGUUAAGCUUGCUUGGGCGAGAGUAGUACUAGGAUGGGUGACCCCCUGGGAAGUCCUCGUGUUGCAACCC
rnacentral:lncRNA from 1 species